GAUGAACGCUGGCGGCGUGCCUAAUACAUGCAAGUCGAGCGAACAGACGAGGAGCUUGCUCCUCUGACGUUAGCGGCGGACGGGUGAGUAACACGUGGAUAACCUACCUAUAAGACUGGGAUAACUUCGGGAAACCGGAGCUAAUACCGGAUAAUAUAUUGAACCGCAUGGUUCAAUAGUGAAAGACGGUUUUGCUGUCACUUAUAGAUGGAUCCGCGCCGCAUUAGCUAGUUGGUAAGGUAACGGCUUACUAAGGCGACGAUGCGUAGCCGACCUGAGAGGGUUGUCGACCAGACUGGAACUGAGCCGCGGUCCAAGCUCCUACGGUGAGCAUAAUAGAGAAAUCUUCCGCAAUGGGGGAAAGCCUGACAGAGCAACGCCGCGUGAGUGAUGAAAGUCUUCGGAUCGUAAAGCUCUGUUAUGAGGAAAGACCAAAUGUGUAAGUAACAAUGCACAUCUUGACGGUACCUAAUCAGAAAGCCACGGCUAACUACGUG
rnacentral:rRNA from 1 species